AGUGAACGCUGGCGGUAGGCCUAACACAUGCAAGCCGAACGGCAGCACAGGAGAGCUUGCUCUCUGGGUGGCGAGUGGCGGACGGGUGAGGAAUACAUCGGAAUCUACUCUGUCGUGGGGGAUAACGUAGGGAAACUUACGCUAAUACCGCAUACGACCUACGGGGGAAAGCAGGGGACCUUCGGGCCUUGCGCGAUGGAAUGAGCCGAUGUCGGAUUAGCUAGUUGGCGGGGUAAAGGCCCACCAAGGCGACGAUCCGUAGCUGGUCUGAGAGGAUGAUCAGCCACACUGGAACUGAGACACGGUCCAGACUCCUACGGGAGGCAGCAGUGGGGAAUAUUGGACAAUGGGCGCAAGCCUGAUCCAGCCAUACCGCGUGGGUGAGGAAGGCCUUCGGGUUGUAAAGCCCUUUUGUUGGGAAAGAAAUCCAGCUGGCUAAUACCCGGUUGGGAUGACGGUACCCAAAGAAUAAGCACCGGCUAACUUCGUGCCAGCAGCCGCCGCGG
rnacentral:rRNA from 1 species